UACGAAGGGGGCUAGCGUUGCUCGGAAUCACUGGGCGUAAAGCGCACGUAGGCGGCUUUCUAAGUCAGGGGUGAAAUCCUGGAGCUCAACUCCAGAACUGCCUUUGAUACUGGAGAGCUUGAGUCCGGAAGAGGUGAGUGGAACUCCGAGUGUAGAGGUGAAAUUCGUAGAUAUUCGCAAGAACACCAGUGGCGAAGGCGGCUCUCUGGGACGGUACUGACGCUGAGACGCGAAAGCGUGGGGAGCGAACAGG
rnacentral:rRNA from 1 species